GCGGGAUUAGUUGAGCAGCUCAACGUGAUCCUUCCAAGAUCAAAAGACGGGUGCGACUCCCGUAUCCCGCUCCA
rnacentral:tRNA from 1 species